GCUGGCUGAGCAGUGGAUCAGUCAGCAAUCUCGGCCACUCACUCUUCUCAGUUUCUCACGGUGCCGCAGCUACACCCGCCGUCCGCCCACGCUUCCACGGUCGCCGCUCCCAACCGCCGCCGCCGCCACCACCACCACCAGGACCUCUACGCCCGUCGCAGAAACGAGCGGCUCCCGCCCUCCGCUCCGGCGGGGUCUCUCGCGAUCGCCGCUGCGGAUUUGUUGAUCUCGCCGGCGGCGGCGCUGGCCUGGCUUCCGUCCAGUCCGAUAGGUGCUUGCUUUGUCGUGCUGAAGCUUGGGGUCAUUUUCUGCAAAAUUGGGCAUUUUGGUAGCUACACUCAUAGAGCAUCCGCAGAUGGUGAGCGCCUUGGCAGGAGUGAUGACCUCUGUCAUCGCCAAGCUCACCGCCCUGCUUGGGGAGGAGUACGCAAAGCUGAAAGGUGUGCACAGGGAGGUGGAGUUCAUGAAAGAUGAGCUGAGCAGCAUGAACGCGCUCCUUCAGAGGCUGGCAGAGGUGGACCGUGAUCUUGAUGUGCAGACCAAGGAAUGGAGGGACCAAGUCCGGGAGAUGUCUUAUGACAUUGAGGAUUGCAUAGACGACUUUAUGAAAAGCCUUGCCCAAACUGACAGUGCUAAGGCAGCAGGGCUUGUGCAAAGUGUGGUCCAGCAGCUCAAGGCGCUGAGGGCGCGCCAUCAAAUAUCCAGCCAAAUCCAGGGGCUCAAGGCACGUGUUGAAGAUGCAAGCAAGCGACGUAUGAGGUAUAAGCUCGAUGAGCGCGCCUUCGAACCUAGCAUCUCAAGGGCCAUCGACCCCCGUUUGCCUUCACUCUAUGCUGAGCCAGACGGGCUUGUCGGUAUUGACAAGCCAAGAAGCGAGCUCAUCGAGUGCCUAAUGGAGGGGAUGGGUGCAUCGGUGCAGCAGCAAAAGGUGAUAUCUAUUGUGGGUCCUGGGGGUCUCGGUAAAACUACACUUGCCAAUGAGGUGUUUCGUAAACUUGAAGGCCAGUUCCAGUGUCGAGCUUUUGUUUCCUUGUCACAACAACCAGAUGUGAGUAAGAUCUUAAGAAAUAUACUCUCUCAAGUCUGCCAGCAAGAGCUUCCUAGCACAGAUAUACAGGACGAGGGAAAGCUCAUUGACACAAUAAGAGAAGUUUUAAAGAACAAGAGGUACUUAGUUGUUAUUGAUGAUAUAUGGAGUACUCAAGCAUGGAAGAUUAUCAAAUGUUCUUUGUUUCUGAAUGAUCUGGGAAGCAGAAUAAUGACGACAACACGUAGUGUUGAUAUAGCCAAGUCAUGUUGCUCUCGAUGCCAUGAUCAUGUCUAUGAAAUAAUGCCUCUGACAACAGCCAACUCUAAGAGUUUAUUUUUUAAACGAAUAUUUGGCACAGAAGAUAUACGUCCUCCUCAAUUGGAAGAAGUCUCCUCGGAAAUAUUAAAAAAGUGUGGUGGUUCACCAUUAGCAAUUCUUACAAUAGCAAGUUUAUUGGCUAAUAAAGAUUGCACGAAUGAAGAAUGGGAGUGGGUGUAUAAUUCGAUCGGUUCCACACUGGGAAAGGACCCCGGUGUAGAAGAGAUGAGAAGGAUACUUUCUCUUAGCUAUGAUGAUCUUCCCCACCAUUUGAAGACAUGUUUACUUUAUCUAAGUAUAUUUCCGGAGGAUUAUGAGAUUGAGAGGGAUCGAUUAAUAAGGAGGUGGAUCGCUGAAGGAUUCAUUGAUACAAAUGGUGGACGAGAUUUGGAGGAAAUAGGAGAGUGUUAUUUUAAUGAUCUAAUCAAUAGAAGUAUGCUUCAGCCAGUGGAAAUCCAAUAUGACGGUCAAGUCGUUUCAUGCCGAGUGCAUGAUAUGAUUCUGGAUCUCCUUACAUCUAAGUCAAUGGAAGAAAACUUUGCCACCUUCUUCGGUAACCAAAAUGAGAUAUUAGUCCUUCAGCAUAAGAUCCGUAGGCUAUCUCUCAGUUAUUAUGACCAAGAGCACAUCAUGCUUCCAUCAACAGCAAUCAUUUCUCAUUGCCGCUCGCUCAGUAUUGUCGGGUAUGCUGAAAAGAUGCCUUCUCUUUCGAAGUUUCGUGUUCUGCGAGUACUUGAUAUUGAGAAUGGCGAGGAGAUGGAGAGCAACUGUUUUGAGCAUCUGAGGAAGCUUUUCCAGUUGAAGUAUUUGCGACUCCACGUUAGAAGUAUUUCUGCACUCCCUGAGCAGUUAGGAGAACUACAGCAUCUGAAGACUCUGGAUAUGGGAUGGACAAAGAUCACAAAAAUGCCCAAAAGCAUUGUUCAGCUGCAACAUUUGACAUGUUUGCGCGUCGGUAAUUUGGAAUUACCUGAAGGAAUUGGGAAUCUGCAAGCUCUGCAGGAGCUAUCAGAUAUCAAAGUCAACCGGUACAGCAUGGCGUCGUGUUUGCUGGAGCUGGGCAGUCUGGCUAAACUGAAAAUCCUUGGGCUACGCUGGUAUAUUGUCAGUACACACAGUAACAAAGGUACUUUUGUGGAUAACUUGGUAUCCUCGCUGCGCAAAUUGGGCAGAUUCAGCCUUCGAUCUAUAUGCAUUCGUAGUUAUCAUGGCUCUUCAACGGAGUUCUUACUGGAUUCCUGGUUCCCCUCCCCUCAUCUCAUGCAAAAGUUUCAGAUGGGCACGUACUACAACUUUCCCAGAGUUCCUCCUUGGAUUGCGUCACUGGACAAGCUCACAUACCUAGAUAUCAAUAUCGAUCCAGUAGACGAGGAAGCACUAGAGAUCCUUGGAGAGUUACCUGCUUUGCUGUUUCUCUGGCUGAUGUCGAAAUCAGCUGCUCCCAAACAGCGGCUUAUCAUAAGCAGCAGCAUGUUUGUAUGUCUGAGGGAGUUCCAUUUCACCUGCUGGAGCAAUGGGGAAGGACUGAUGUUUGAAGCCGGGGCCAUGCCGAGGCUUGAGAAGCUGUGGGUUCCGUUUGACGCGGGCAGCGGUCUUGAUUUUGGCAUCCAACACCUCUCUUCCCUCAGGCAUCUUGCCGUCGAGAUCAUUUGCAUCGGCGCGACCGCUCGGGACGUUGAGGCGUUGGAGGAGGCCAUCAGAGAUGCAGCUCAUCUCCUUCCGAAUCGCCCUGCGGUGGAGUUCCGAACAUGGGAUGAUGAAAAGAUGGUGGAGGAGGAGGGGCAAGGCGUCACUGAAGAGGAGAUCCACGCUAGCGGUUGAAAGUCAGCCUGCAGUAUAUGUAAGUGUACACAGUACACAACUCAUUUGACAUUUUUAACUUCUCCUUUUCCUCCCGUACGCUGCAUAGUUUUUGUAAUUUUCUUUGGAGCAAAUUACAUCAUGGGACACCGAACUCGUCCUGCUGGCCGGUUCAAGUAUGUCUAAACCCAGACUUGCAUAUGACUGAUGGUCACCAAACUUCAAGUGGGUCACUCAAGGAGUCUAGACGGGCUAUAGGGAUGGCAUAACGAAAGCGCGGAACGAAGGUGAACAAGAGGGCUGGAAUGUUGGGUCUAGGCAAGGAUACAAAUGGGAUCUUGUUCGCGGGAUUACUAGUGCAUUGGCUGGUCUUUCCAGCAGCCGGAAAGAAAAGUUGUUGCUCGAUGUCCGCCGCAUAAGAGAACUUGAAGAUUUGCACAACUCCGUGCUAGAAAUUUCAGCGGCGGGUGCGCUGCAGAUGUUUCAUGAGAGUAUUCAUCAGGAUAAUGACCCAUCAGAGGAAAACAGCCUCCAAACUAUUCCAAUCGACCUUCUCCUGUUGUUGCAAGAAUGUCCAGAUGUUCAGGUCCCUGAAGAGCCGGCACAAGUUCCUUGAGCAAAGGUCGUAAUGGAAUUGUUUUUUUUUAGAAAAGGAGGGUCACCCCCGGCCUCUGCAUCAGAAUGAUGCAUGCAACCCCUUUAUUAAGCAAAGUAAAUGAAAGGUCCGCGGUCGUAAUGGAAUGGUAGAUCUGCUGAUACUGAUUUUGAAGUCUGGUAGAAGUCACUUAUUAGACUGAUUCUUUCUGAAGGAUGUAACUGUAAAUCUGUUGAUACUAAGAUUUUCUUUAUCAUGUCACCCCUUCCUUUGUAUGAAACUCCUGUAAUUUCGCAGUUUGAAUGGAAAUAAUAAUAUUUUCUUCC